rnacentral:tRNA from 2 species
CCUCGAAUAGCACAACGGCUAGUGCACCCGACCGAUAAUCGGAUGAUCUUGGUUCGAUUCCAAGUUCGAGGACCA